GACGUAGGGCGCGAGCGUUGUCCGGAUUUAUUGGGCGUAAAGAGCUCGUAGGCGGCUUGUUGCGUCGACUGGGAAAACCCGCGGCUUAACUGCGGGCUUGCAGUUGAUACUGGCAGACUCGAGUGCGGUAGAGGAUGGUGGAAUUCCCGGUGUAGCGGUGAAAUGCGUAGAUAUCGGGAGGAACAUCAGUGGCGAAGGCGGCCAUCUGGACUGACACUGACACUGAGACACGAAAGCGUGGGGAGCAAACAGG
rnacentral:rRNA from 1 species